rnacentral:sRNA from 1 species
CUUCGUUGAAGCCCUCAGCGAAGAAAAGAGUUGGAAAACAUACGCUUAGCGCGUCAGUGCUAGUCCCGUCUCCCGCUCCAAU